AGCUCAAAUUUGAAAUCUGCUUUCAGGCGUCCGAGUUGUAAUCUAUAGAGGCGUUUUCCGCGCCGGACCGCGUCCAAGUCUCUUGGAAUAGAGUAUCAAAGAGGGUGACAAUCCCGUACUUGACGCGACAACCGGUGCUUGUGAUACGUUCUCAAUGAGUCGAGUUGUUUGGGAAUGCAGCUCUAAAUGGGUGGUAUCAUCUAAGGCUAAAUAUUGGCGAGAGCCGAUAGCGAACAAGUACCGUGAGGGAAAAUGAAAAGCACUUUGGAAAGAGAGUUAAACAGCACGUGAUUGUUAAAAGGGAAACGAUUGAAGUCAGUCGUGUGGGAAGUAUUCAGCCGUCUCUGGCGGUGUAUUUGCUUCUCACGGGUCAACAUCAGUUUGAUCCGGUAGAAAAAGGCGGGAAGAAGGUGGCACCCUCGGGUGUGUAUAGCUUCCUGUCAUAUGUGCCGGACCAGACUGA
rnacentral:rRNA from 1 species